rnacentral:rRNA from 1 species
CGUGAGUAACCUGCCUUGGAGUGGGGAAUAACAGUUGGAAACAGCUGCUAAUACCGCAUAAUAUGUCUGUGUCGCAUGGCACUGGACAUCAAAGAUUUAUCGCUCUGAGAUGGACUCGCGUCUGAUUAGCUGGUUGGCGGGGUAACGGCCCACCAAGGCGACGAUCAGUAGCCGGACUGAGAGGUUGGCCGGCCACAUUGGGACUGAGACACGGCCCAGACUCCUACGGGAGGCAGCAG